rnacentral:rRNA from 1 species
GUGGGGAAUCUUAGACAAUGGGCGCAAGCCUGAUCUAGCCAUGCCGCGUGAGCGAUGAAGGCCUUAGGGUUGUAAAGCUCUUUCAGUGGGGAAGAUAAUGACUGUACCCACAGAAGAAGCCCCGGCUAACUCCGUGCCAGCAGCCGCGGUAAUACGGAGGGGGCUAGCGUUGUUCGGAAUUACUGGGCGUAAAGCGCACGUAGGCGGACUGGAAAGUCAGGGGUGAAAUCCCGGGGCUCAACCCCGGAACUGCCUUUGAAACUCCCAGUCUUGAGGUCGAGAGAGGUGAGUGGAAUUCCGAGUGUAGAGGUGAAAUUCGUAGAUAUUCGGAGGAACACCAGUGGCGAAGGCGGCUCACUGGCUCGAUACUGACGCUGAUGCACGAAAGCGUGGGGAUCAAACAGGAUUAGAAACCCCAGUAGUCC